rnacentral:rRNA from 1 species
GUACACGCUGUGACUAGCAUAUCAAUAAGCGGAGGAAAAGUACCUACGCUUAGGAUGUUGACACACGCGCGUGCUCGACUCUAUACAUGACUCUGUGCAUAUCAAUAAGCGGAGGAAAAGAAACUAACAAGGAUUCCCUCAGUAACGGCGAGUGAAGCGGGAAGAGCUCAAAUUUGAAAUCUUGAAAGGUCACCUUUCACGAAUUGUAGUUUAAAGAAGUGUUUUCUGUUACGAUCGUAAUAUAAGUUCUUUGGAAUAGGACAUCACAGAGGGUGAGAAUCCCGUCUAUGAUUGCGAUUUGUAGCUUUGUGAUACACUUUCAAAGAGUCGGGUCGUUUGGGAAUGCAGCCCAAAACGGGAGGUAAAUUUCAUCUAAGGCUAAAUAUUGGCGAGAGACCGAUAGCGAACAAGUACCGUGAGGGAAAGAUGAAAAGAACUUUGAAAAGAGAGUUAAAUAGUACGUGAAAUUGUCAAAAGGGAAGCGUUUAACACCAGUGUUGUUUUCUGAAAAUCAACCUCUGUUAGCUUUAUGCAUGUUUGUUUAGACCUAAUCAGCUAUCUUUCAUGUUCUAUUGUUUGCAGUGGUGCACUUUUCAGUUUACAGGUCGACAUCAGUUUUUUUUACCGUAAAAAAGUUAAAGAAAGGUAGCUCAUGGCUCCGGUCGUGAGUGUUAUAGUCUUUUUCCUAUGCGGUAGGAGAGACUGAGGUCUGCAGUGUAGGCUAUUUGGCUAGAUACUCAGGUGCUAUGUGAUACCAUUUCAUAAACAACUUGUUGAUUAUGUUUUGUCUAUUGCAUACUCGCUUGUACUAUCAUACCUACGCUUAGGAUGUUGAGUAGCGACAUACGCAC